GGGGAGCAGGGCAUGUGGAUGGGCUCCAGAAGCACAGAUCAGAGCUGGGGAAACCUGUCCCAGCCUACAGAACACUGCUCCUGAGCGAGGCCAUUCUCUGGAGGUACCAGCGGGAGAUGCUGUUGGACUCCUGGGAGUUGGGUAAUUCACCCUCCCCCAGUGCCAAAGCCAGGUCAGCCUGAGGAAGUGCUGCUGACAGCACAGCUGGAAAAGAAGGCGUCAGAUCCAUGGAGAGAAGCUGGACCAUAUCUUUGAGAAGCCAGUGCAGUAAAAUUUUUAAGAAAUUUUUGAACACUGGAAGAUAAAACAACUCUAGGCUGACCCUUUUUUGACCUACUUCCUCUAAAGUUCUGCAUGUAUCAGUUCCUGUAGUCUUAUCUGGCUCUUCGAGCUGAGCUCCUCAGAAACCUCGAGCAACCAUAGUCCUGCUGCUUCCUGAAAGGAGCGGGGGAGUGCGGAGGCCUGAGCCCUCAGAAGUGCCCAUGAGCAGGAGUUUCUCAUGCCAUGCUGAAAACUGGAACUGAGUCUUAACACUUAUUGGGAUAACAAGUGGUUAAGGUCAUGGAUUUAAAGCACUUCUCUUGACUAAACCCAAAGCAGUCAUUUAUCAGAGCAUCCCCCGAACUUCACACAUGAACUCCCCUCUCCUUGGGAAGAGUCCUUGAAUUCUACACGGGGUCUGUGCACCAAUAACUGCAGGAGGUGCAAGCAGUGCUCAUUUACAGAACUGCCUCUCUAAGGAAGGAGCCUUUUGUAUACCUCUCCUUGAAGCCACUUUGACCGAACAGGAGUAGCUACAGUGUUCACUGGAACACAGCAGCUCUGGAACACUUUCCAGUGAAGGACAUGAAUCCCAGGUUGUUACCCAAAGGCUGAGAACAGAGGAUGUGUUGAUUACAAGAAGAUGAGUAAAACCUACCUGUUUUAGUCCUUCAUGUAUGUAUGUCUCACCUGCUGGUGUCACCUCCUCCAGAUCCUUU